rnacentral:tmRNA from 2 species
GGCCUUUUCAUGACGGCUCGAAAGACCUAUAUCAGUCUUGCCGUCUUCGGGCGGAUAUGGCGAUAAACCAGCGAUGAAAUAAACCUAUUGGACCCGGGGGCGGUACCCGGCGCCUCCACCAAAAACCGGUCAUCACACCAGCCGGACCGGCUUUUGAUGGGGGCGAAAUAGGAUCGACAAGGGCGUAAAGAUCGACUCUUUGCUCGGCAUUGUACCACCGUUAUCGGGCUAAACUUGUAGUUGCAAAUGACAACUAUGCGGAAGCUCGUCUCGCUGCUUAAUCGCAGUGUGACACUUCAAAUCAAGUCCUUCCGGUUCGCACCGUAAGGCGGGGUCCGAAGGCACCUGGCAACAGAAGCCUUCACC